UCUUAGAAAUGCCUGUAUAUUCCACUCUAGAGGGCUAGUCUCUGGUGGCAGUAUCUAUUAAUUUAUUGCCAGUGGUACUGACUUCUCCUGGGUAACUCGCUUUAUUUGUGGGAGAAAGGGUUAGGAUAAUGUAGUUUCCACACAAGAUAUUCCCUACUGAACCACAUGGUGGGGCAGUGUUCUUGUUAUGCUUGUUAAGGCUGAGGUGUUUGAUUGAUUUGGCUUGGGGUUUCUCAGAGCAAAAGCAUUGCUUCUCGAUUACAGCUGUAUCGAGCUCUAUAAAUGAGCCACUGAUUUUGACAGGUUCACACCUGUAAUCCCAGUGCUUUGGGAAGCCGAGCGAGAGGACUGCUUGAGUCCAGGAGUUAGAGGUUACAGUGAACUAUGAUUGUGCCACUGCACUCCAGCCUGAGCAAGAGUGAGACCCCCAUCUCCUUGAGGGGGGAAAAAAAAAGCACUGCUGUGAUCAUGUGCGUUAACACCAGGAGCUGGACUGAUAAUAUAAUCCUCAGGAGGACCUAAAGGGAUCCACUUGUGUGACCAUGGUAGAGCCAGGAAAUCCCAUCAACCUAGAAAGUGAAAAAUGGGAGUUUUUCUCAGUCACCACCUUGUGAUCAUACUUCUCCCAAACACCAUGCCUUUCCCUUCUCAGCUCAGCUACUCCUUUAACAAGUUUCUGCAUCUGAACCAUUUUCCCCUCAUCUCUUCAUCUUCAAAGGCCUUUAUCUUUAUCCUUUAAAUCCAAUUUGUUCUGAAUGUCUGGGAACCAAAAAAGCUUUAAGGAAUGCUUUCUCGGCCGGGCACAGUGGCUCCCACCUGUAAUCCUAGCACUUUGGGAGGUCAAGGCGGGAGGAUCACUUGUGCUCAGGAGUUUGAACCAGCCGGGGCAACAUGGGGAAGCCUCAUCUUUAUAAAAAAUACAAAAGAACAUUGGUCAGGAGUGGUGGUCCAUGCCUGUGGUCACAGCUACUUGGGAGGCUGAGGUCAGAGGAUCACUUGAGCCCAGGAGGUCAAGGCUACAGUGAGCCAUGAUCACGCCACUGCAGUCCAGCCUGGGCUAAAAAAAAAAAAAAAAGCUUUCUAUGCCCAGAGACCAGCACUGGGUGUGAUUAAACCACAGCACUGCCCCCAGGAAGCUUAGGGUCAGCGUCAGGCUUGUGGCUACUCCUUGACUUGUUCCAGAGGACCCAGCUGAGGUGUGUGACAUGGAAUGGGCAGGAGAGGAAAACCUGAAACCCCUAAGGAUGCUGAGACUGAAGGGGUGGGCCAUAACCCAGGCCUGGCUUAAGGUCCACUGAGUUAAAAACAAGUUCUUGGGAAUCUGAAUGGAAAUUUAACAUGUUCCCGAUGAAGGAAACUUCCUGCUGGCCUGUGUGAGCCUUAAAGGCUACUCUAAGGAUUAUGGAGACAGGCAGCUAGUGGGUCAGUGAACUAAUCAGAUUCUGUAUGUCUGCUCUCUAACUGUCAAAGCCAGUUGUUUUUAAAAUGUGGUCCCCAGACCAGCAAACUUCAGGCUCCCCUGGGACUUCUUGUUAACACAAAUUCUCUGGUCCCUCCCCGGGGCUACCAAACCAGUAACUUGGGGUAGGGCCCAUCCUGGGGCAUAAGAAUGCGUUCAGGUGAUUCUGAUGUAUGCGAAAGUAUGAGAACCACGCAAUUCCAAAAUCUGACUCCACUUUUGCUUUUUGCUACAAGAUCCCUCUCAAUCUUUCGCUUGCUGAUUCAGUCAGGUCUGGUGUUGCUUUUUUUUUUUUUGAGACAGAGUCUCACUCUGUCACCCAGGCUGGAGUGCAGUGGCACAAUCUCGGCUCACUGAAACCUCCCCCUCCCAGGUUCAAGCGAUUCUUGUGCCUCAGCCUCCCGAGUAGCUGGGAUUACAGGCACGUGCCACCAUGCCUGGCUAAUUUUUUGUAUUUUUAGUAGAGACAGGGUUUCACCAUGUUGGCCAGGCUGGUCUCAAACUCCUGACCUCAGCUGAUCCACCUGUCUUGGCCUCCCAAAGUGCUGGGAUAACAGGCGUGAGCCACCAUGCCCGGCUGGCUUCUCUAUUAAGGCGGACAGGGUCAUCUCCUGGUUAUCCCCUGACUCAGAUUCCCAUAGGUGGCUCUGCCUCAGAAGCCCCAGGGCACUGUGGUUACUGUUAGGUGUGGCAGUGACUGUUCUGGAUUCUCCCCUUCAGUUCUUACUUGGGCUAUAGUUCAGCAACUUACCUGGUUGCUGUUUACCCUUCAAAGCAAUGCCAAGUUCAUGGGAAACUGUACAUACAUGUAAACUGAAUCUUUGAAACGGCUAUGAGUGGGUAUUGCCAGGGUGAUCUCCAGCUAACUCUGCCAAGCUCGAAUCACACACUUAGGCUAUCCCGGUGCAGGAUUUCAUCUACUCUUCACUAGAUAAAGUACACAGAGGACUUUUAAUUUUAAAAUGUUCUUUUUUGGUCAGUAGUCUUAGUAAGAGAUUUAUAUGAAAAGAGGUAGGAGUAUAUAAAUAGGGUGUUAAAUAUAUCAUGUCACCAAAAAAUUUACCCGAGAAAUAGACGUUUAAAAGCAAUUUUAGAAAACCUUCAAUCAACAAUAUAUAAAUAACUUAAUCUGAGGUAAGAGGGAAAAAUGCCCUGCAAACACUUUAGAAAAAUACAUCUCUGCCACACUACAGAAAUAUACCUUUUACCACAUCUUCUGAAUCCCCAGUUACCCUCCAUCUACCAAAGAUUUUGGGCACCAGAACUAAAGAUGAGAAUCUUUCCCACCCCUACCACUUCCAGGUAAACACAGAGUUCAUGUUCAGCCAGGCUAAAGUACAAGAAAACUGAACCCACUCUCCAUCCCAUCCCAUCCUAGGAUAGGUGGGGCCGAAGCAGAAAUCAUGGAAUGCUCAGGACUCCACCCCUCCCAAGUGCACUGAGCAACCAGCAUCUGGCUGCCACUCCAACCAGUCCUUGAAAGAACUCAGCCCCCAACCCUGACCCCAAAUCUGUCCAACCUGGUUCUAUAGUGUCUUCCAUCUGACCGAGCUCUAGAGUGACAGCUCCAUAUCAGAGCAUCAUCGCUCAACACCCCUGACUCAGGCCAAGACCCAAAUGUCUUCUCCUGGGAGGGAAAGGGAGAAAAAAAGCAAAAAUCAAUAAUAAAGUAUUUUGCAAAAACUCAAGA